UACGUAGGUGGCAAGCGUUGUCCGGAUUUACUGGGUGUAAAGGGCGUGCAGCCGGGCUGACAAGUCAGAUGUGAAAUCCCGCGGCUCAACCGCGGAACUGCAUUUGAAACUGUUAGUCUUGAGUACCGGAGAGGUCAUCGGAAUUCCUUGUGUAGCGGUGAAAUGCGUAGAUAUAAGGAAGAACACCAGUGGCGAAGGCGGAUGACUGGACGGCAACUGACGGUGAGGCGCGAAAGCGUGGGGAGCAAACGGG
rnacentral:rRNA from 1 species